UAGGGGAAAUCUUCCACAAUGGGCGAAAGCCUGAUGGAGCAACGCCGCGUGUGUGAUGAAGGGUUUCGGCUCGUAAAACACUGUUGUAAGAGAAGAAUGACAUUGAGAGUAACUGUUCAAUGUGUGACGGUAUCUUACCAGAAAGGAACGGCUAAAUACGUGCCAC
rnacentral:rRNA from 1 species